UGGCCCAUAGCUCAAUUGGUAGAGCAUCGGCCUCAUAAGCCGAAAGAUGUGAGUUCGAAUCUCACUGGUCCCACAA
rnacentral:tRNA from 1 species